AACGCGAAGAACCUUACCAGGGUUUGACAUCCUGUGCUCACUCCAGAGAUGGAGCUUCCCCGCAAGGGGCGCAGAGACAGGUGCUGCAUGGCUGUCGUCAGCUCGUGUCGUGAGAUGUUGGGUUAAGUCCCGCAACGAGCGCAACCCUCGCCUUUAGUUGCCAUCAUUCAGUUGGGCACUCUAGAGGGACCGCCGGCGGCAAGCCGGAGGAAGGUGGGGAUGAAGUCAAGUCCUCAUGGCCCUUACAGGCUGGGCUACACACGUGCUACAAUGGCGGUGACAACGGGAGGCGAAGGGGCGACCCUUAGCAAAUCUCGAAAAGCCGUCUCAGUUCGGAUUGCACUCUGCAACUCGAGUGCAUGAAGUUGGAAUCGCUAGUAAUCGCGGAUCAGCACGCCGCGGUGAAUACGUUCCCGGGCCUUGUACACACCGACUGUAC
rnacentral:rRNA from 1 species